UAGAGUUUAUAAUAAAAAUAAAAAAUAAAAAGGAGGCUUGUCCUGCAGUGUCUUCCAUAUAAGUUGAUAUAUUGAAAUUUUUUUAAUGUCUACAGACUGAGAUGUUAACGAACAGGCAGAAACGAAAUACCAUGUACCAUAUUUUACUGACCUUGGAGCUUCAGUUUUGUAUCUAUAAGCCAUCAUAUCUGCUUCAGUACAGUGAAAAGACGCAGUGUAACUGUAAAAACAGUAUAUGCCUGAAUCUAUAUAUAUUUUUAAGGAGUAGUGUAGUUCUGUGGGAGGUGUCAGGGUUUAGAUUUGUUGUAGUGAGCUUGAGUUUUGUUUUUUUUUCCUUUCAACUUGGUGUUCCUGUGUGUUACUGACAAGUUAAAACACAAUGAACACGAUGAAAAGAGACUGGAAAUGUGUGUUUGGAAAUGAAAAUCCACUUUAAAACGGUACAUAAGAUGUGCAGAGAGUGUAAAAAAUAUAUAAAAAUGUUGAGUCAUAUCAAUCAAAUAUGAUUGUUUAUGAGAUAAAAGAUACUUAUUCACUGUAAGAUCACGUUAUUUUUGUUUCCACUGAGCUGUGAGUUUCAUCACAUCUCCUUCCUCACCUCACAUCCUCUUGUGGUUCAGGACUAAGCGCUGAUAUAGAACUGUAAAAGACCUCGUUUUCUUUUCUUAAUUUCUCUCAUUUCACUCAGCAUCGUUGUUCUUUGCCACUUUGUCGACAUGAACUAACCCGAAGUAAAAAUCUGAUUUCCAUCGUCUGAUAGGAGAGGCGUAGUUUUAGUGCUCACCAGUUUGUUGCACCACAAAGAGCACAACAGCUGUAUCAGAACCCAAGUGUGCGCCUUUUUCUUUCUUCGGGCCCCGUUUCUUGUCCUGAUUGUUUUAAAAACUGUAUUUUUACUGUAUGGAUAGAACAUGUUUUCUUAUACUCUGAUACAGUGACGACAAAUAUCCACCGUGUUUCACAAGCUGUUCCUUUUUUUUGAGGAGGAAUAAAUGUUUCUAUAUCUGA